rnacentral:tRNA from 1 species
CGCGGGGUGGAGCAGCCUGGUAGCUCGUCGGGCUCAUGACCCGAAGGUCGUCGGUUCAAAUCCGGCCCCCGCAACCA